rnacentral:rRNA from 1 species
ACUGAAGGGCCGUUGAAGACUACAACGUUGAUAGGCGAGAUGUGGAAGUGCUGUGAGGCAUUAAGCUAACUCGUACUAAUUACCCGUGAGGCUUAACCAUACAACGCCAAAGUGGUUU